CCUCGCCAAGCCCUGAUAUUGCCUAACUAGGUAGGAAUGGAGGGAAACCCGCGAAUGCUUACAAAGUAAUAAUUUAUUGGUUAUGACAAUGUAAUGAGCAAUGACAGUUAAUAAGAUCAAAAGAGUGAUGAUAAUACAAUGAAUGAGAGGGUGACAUUUAAUGUCCUUGAGAUGCUCCGGAAUUUUCUUUGUCCUUGGUCGAAGAACACGACGACUUGGCGUUCCCAUUCUUGGUUCUUCAGGCGGUUUGUUUGGUGGCUCGUUCUCUUCCAGCCUAGGAAAAAUUAUAGGUGCUUUAGGAGCUUUAGACAUGUGAUAAUAUACAAAUUCAUAAUCAGCAAAGAAAUGAGAGGGUGACAUUUAAUGGUUGGAAAUACUGCUAUGAGAAUAGCGAAGUUACCACAAGCCCCUAUACGUGAGUAAAUUCGUUCCAGUCCAACGGACCGAUCACCCAGCCAAUUUAAUUAAAGGCGCCAAUAAUUUGCCUCGUCAGAUCGAAUAUCAUGCCAGUUUUUAAACAAGAGCCGUUGUUCUAACCUGUGUGAUGCUCAUAGUUAUCUCGUGCCGGUUGUUUGUUUUGUUUUAUGACUAAAAUUACCCGCAUUUUUAAUAAAAAAAAAAAUACAA